AUUGAACGCUGGCGGCAUGCUUUACACAUGCAAGUCGAACGGUAACAGGUCUUCGGAUGCUGACGAGUGGCGAACGGGUGAGUAAUACAUCGGAACGUGCCUAGUAGUGGGGGAUAACUACUCGAAAGAGUAGCUAAUACCGCAUGAGAUCUACGGAUGAAAGCAGGGGACCUCCGGGCCUUGUGCUACUAGAGCGGCUGAUGGCAGAUUAGGUAGUUGGUGGGGUAAAGGCUUACCAAGCCUGCGAUCUGUAGCUGGUCUGAGAGGACGACCAGCCACACUGGGAGUGAGACACGGCCCAGACUCCGACGGGAGGCAGGAGGGGGGAAUUUUGGACAAUGGGCGAAAGCCUGAUCCAGCAAUGCCGCGUGCAGGAUGAAGGCCCUCGGGUUGUAAACUGCUUUUGUACGGAGCGAAAAGACUGGGCUAAUAUCCCCGGGUCAUGACGGUACCGUAAGAAUAAGCACCGGCUAACUACGUG
rnacentral:rRNA from 1 species